CGCCAGGGCCCACGGAAUGUGGACUUACGAACCCCGCCAGGGCAGGAAUGCAGCAACGGUAGUUUGCUCUGCAUCAGCCGUGGUCACCCUGGCCUUU
rnacentral:SRP_RNA from 1 species